AACGUAGGGGACAAGCGUUAUCCGGAUUUACUGGGCGUAAAGCGCCCGUAGGCGGCGAAGUAAGUUGGACGUGAAAGCUCCUGGCUUAACUGGGAGAGGCCGUUCAAAACUGCUUGGCUAGAGUGAGGCAGAGGAGUGCGGAAUUCCCGGUGUAGUGGUGGAAUGCGUAGAUAUCGGGAGGAACACCAGUGGCGAAAGCGGCACUCUGGGCCUAAACUGACGCUGAGGGGCGAAAGCGUGGGGAGCGAACGGG
rnacentral:rRNA from 1 species